GAUGAACGCUGGCGGCGUGCCUAAUACAUGCAAGUCGAGCGAACAGACGAGGAGCUUGCUCCUCUGACGUUAGCGGCGGACGGGUGAGUAACACGUGGAUAACCUACCUAUAAGACUGGGAUAACUUCGGGAAACCGGAGCUAAUACCGGAUAACAUGUUGAACCGCAUGGUUCAACAGUGAAAGACGGUCUUGCUGUCACUUAUAGAUGGAUCCGCGCCGCAUUAGCUAGUUGGUAAGGUAACGGCUUACCAAGGCAACGAUGCGUAGCCGACCUGAGAGGGUGAUCGGCCACACUGGAACUGAGACACGGUCCAGACUCCUACGGGAGGCAGCAGUAGGGAAUCUUCCGCAGUGGGCGAAAGCCUGACGGAGCAACGCCGCGUGAGUGAAGAAGGUCUUCGGAUCGUAAAACUCUGUUAUUAGGGAAGAACAAAUGUGUAAGUAACUAUGCACGUCUUGACGGUACCUAAGCAGAAAGCCACGGCUAACUACGU
rnacentral:rRNA from 1 species